AUACCUUUGCAGCGUUUUGGUGAUGUCCUAGUAUUUCCUUACUAGGGUAUAAAAGGGAAUUCGGUUAGAAUCCGAAACAGUGCCCGCUACUGUGAACUCUAUAAAAACACGGUUUGAACAUCCUCAUUGCCACUAUUCUAAAUACAGAAUGGGAAGGCGUUCAGACAGAGUUAGUCAGGAAACCUGCCAACACAAACAGAUAACA
rnacentral:ncRNA from 2 species